rnacentral:rRNA from 1 species
UACGUAGGGGGCAAGCGUUGUCCGGAAUUAUUGGGCGUAAAGAGCGCGUAGGCGGUCCGAUAAGUCGGCUGUGAAAGUCAAGGGCUCAACCCUUGAAAGCCGGCCGAUACUGUCGGACUAGAGUCCGGAAGAGGCAAGUGGAAUUCCCGGUGUAGCGGUGAAAUGCGCAGAUAUCGGGAGGAACACCAAUGGCGAAGGCAGCUUGCUGGGACGGUACUGACGCUGAGACGCGAAAGCGUGGGGAGCGAACAGG